ACUCCUACGGGAGGCAGCAGUAAGGAAUAUUGGUCAAUGGGCGCAAGCCUGAACCAGCCAUGCCGCGUGUAGGAAGACGGCCCUAUGGGUUGUAAACUGCUUUUGUCAGGGAAUAAACCCCCGCUCGUGAGCGGGGCUGAAGGUACCUGAAGAAUAAGCAUCGGCUAACUCCGUGCCAGCAGCCGCGGUAAUACGGAGGAUGCAAGCGUUAUCCGGAUUCAUAGGGUUUAAGGGGUGCGCAGGCGGAUUGGUAAGUCAGGGGUGAAAUCCCACAGCUCAACUGUGGAACUGCCUUUGAUACUGUCAGUCUAGAGUAUAGUUGAAGUUGGCGGAAUGUGUCAUGUAGCGGUGAAAUGCUUAGAUAUGACACAGAACACCGAUCGCGAAGGCAGCUAGCUAAGCUAUAACUGACGCUCAUGCACGAAAGCGUGGGGAUCAAACAGGAUUAGAUACCCUGGUAGUC
rnacentral:rRNA from 1 species